AGCAGUCGCCACGGUAAUACGAAGGGGGCUAGCGUUGUUCGGAUUUACUGGGCGUAAAGCGCACGUAGGCGGACUUUUAAGUCAGGGGUGAAAUCCCGGGGCUCAACCCCGGAACUGCCUUUGAUACUGGGAGUCUUGAGUUCGAGAGAGGUGAGUGGAAUUGCGAGUGUAGAGGUGAAAUUCGUAGAUAUUCGCAGGAACACCAGUGGCGAAGGCGGCUCACUGGCUCGAUACUGACGCUGAGGUGCGAAAGCGUGGGGAGCAAACAGGAUUAGAUACCCCCCGUAGUCCCUGUCUCUUAUA
rnacentral:rRNA from 1 species